UAACGCGUGAGGAACCUGCCUCAAAGAGGGGGAUAACAGUUGGAAACGACUGCUAAUACCGCAUAAGCCCACGGCUCGGCAUUGAGCAGAGGGAAAAGGAGCAAUCCGCUUUGAGAUGGCCUCGCGUCCGAUUAGCUAGUUGGUGAGGUAACGGCCCACCAAGGCGACGAUCGGUAGCCGGACUGAGAGGUUGAACGGCCACAUUGGGACUGAGACACGGCCCAGACUCCUACGGGAGGCAGCAGUGGGGAAUAUUGCACAAUGGGGGAAACCCUGAUGCAGCGACGCCGCGUGGAGGAAGAAGGUCUUCGGAUUGUAAACUCCUGUUGUUGAGGAAGAUAAUGACGGUACUCAACAAGGAAGUGACGGCUAACUACGUGCCAGCAGCCGCGGUAAAACGUAGGUCACAAGCGUUGUCCGGAAUUACUGGGUGUAAAGGGAGCGCAGGCGGGAAGACAAGUUGGAAGUGAAAUCCAUGGGCUCAACCCAUGAACUGCUUUCAAAACUGUUUUUCUUGAGUAGUGCAGAGGUAGGCGGAAUUCCCGGUGUAGCGGUGGAAUGCGUAGAUAUCGGGAGGAACACCAGUGGCGAAGGCGGCCUACUGGGCACCAACUGACGCUGAGACUCGAAAGUGUGGGUAGCAAACAGGGUUAGAUACCCUGGUAGUCCACACUGUAAACGAUGAUUACUAGGUGU
rnacentral:rRNA from 1 species